rnacentral:sRNA from 1 species
AGAUGUCCCAUAUAUCCAGCAUUCUAGAACAUUCUGUCAGAUGGCACCGGGCUCUGCCCUGUCUGCUGAGGAGGUGGCUUCUCAUCCCUGUCCUGAGCAGGUCUGAGCUGCCGCCCACUGACCACUGCCCUCGUCCUGCAGGUGGCUGGGAGCCCGAGCCCCACACCUGCCGGGCAGCAGGUGCUGGACAUUGAAAGCUGCCUGGACUCGUCCAUGCUGGACAGCUCCUUCCUCACGUUCUAAGGCCUCCACGCUGAGGUUAUCAAUACUUGGUGACUUCGUCAUCGUGGACUGACUUUGGUGGAAGUCUUCGGUUUAUUAUCAUUACUGUGUUUCUGAGAAGUUAUAAAUUUGCCAUCUCCCUCCGCACAAGUUACCUUUCU